AUCCUUUGUUUACUGGCUCCUUUAUAACAGGUCCAUCUAAGUCUCAGGCUGCAGAUCUUAUGAGCAGCUCCACCUGAGCCAGUGUGCUUUCAAACAUCUGACCUCUUCCAGUUUCAGCCUCCUGGGAACUCGUGUGUGGCGGAUCAAUGCACAUGAAAGUUUUGCAGAGGAACUUCUCAAGGUCACCUUCGCUUUAUACUCAAAAAGUCCAGCAAACAAUAAAAACAUCUCUGAAAAAAAAUAAACACCUGAAUGCCUUCCCCUUUCUGGGUUUACUUAGUGCUUCUUGAGUCCUUUGAGGUUUGGACCAGUGUCUUUCAAGAAACAGGACGUAGCUGUGGCCCACUCGUCUCCGCACAGUCUUCUAGUUCUAGACAAAGUCUUUUUGUUUUGGGGGGACUGUCUGUCCCUUCUGCAGUAGAAUCUGAUCUCUGUGUAUCUCUCAGUUUUGGAGAUUUUCUGUCCUUUUUUUCAAGUAGAAGAGAUGCACAAAAAGCCAAGUGCUCUGAGGACAGUGCUGAUGGUCCUUGAUGCCAUGAGUUGGAGCUGAGAUCAUUCUUCUGCUGUGAAAUGGCCAUUAAUCAGCACUGAAAGUUAAAGUGAAUAGAAGCAGAGUUUUGAAUUCAAACGGAAUUUGUACAGACAUAGGCAGGUCCCCUGGGCCGUGUGUGUGUAUGCAUAUAUAAACACAUACAUAUGUACUUAUGUAUGUCUGCAUUUAUACACACACAAACAUGAAUGAAAAAAUAUAUAUAUGCUGCAUUCCAGAAAGAAAGGUAAGCAUCAAUAUAGAAAGUAAUAUCAGAAAAAAUCCAGUUACCAUCACAGAAGAUACCAUUUUCCUAGUCCUGCCCACUAGAACUGCAUCACCCUAACUGCACAACGCUCACAUCACAUAAGAAAUUAAAUGGUGCAAAACAGCAAUAUUUUUUCAGCUUUUGGGUUUCAGGGAAACUUUCUGCUCUAGAGUUUCUCAGCUUGAUAAAAUGUUAAACUGCACCAUAGAUUCCUGUACCUUGUGCAACCAUGCGAAUUACAGUCUAGUUUUCCCAUGCCCAGCUCGAAAUACAGCUUCCAUCUUUCUCCUACUUAACCAUAUCCUGGUGUGAGACAAUACAAUAUUGAGAAACACUUCAAACUAUAAUAGUAAUAACACAAAUCUUUUGUUUUAUUAUUAAGCUGAAUGAAUCCCUGAUGACUCAAGAGAACUCCACAGAAGCCUGUGUAUGCAAAAAGAGAGGCUGGUUAUGACCACCAGAAGAAACCAGCUGUGGCACAGAAUCACAGAGGAGAUCACGUCCACUCACUUCCCCACCAUCACUCCCAGUGGGAGGAAAGCAACGAGUUUUUCCUGUCCAAGCAAAGCCAAGACAUCAUAUUGCCUGAUUUUUGCUCAGGGCCUAAAGAGAAGUACAUUCCACUGCUGAAAGUGUUGCAGAGACACUCAGCUCCAGAUCUCUCCCCUUGAUGACUACAAGCAGAGCUCCAGUGAAGCAUGGGCCGGCAAGCAUGAAUGACCAGGGCAGGGUUGGAAGCUGUACCUGGGACAACGUCUAGGCUGCCAGGCUUGCACAGGUACCCAGUAAAGAUUAUAAAGUGCUUCAAGUGGUCAAAUCCACUGGGAACCUUGUUCAGAGGAGGGAGGGAGGUUGUGCUGCAUAUAUCAUCUUCCCCAGCCACCUAGAAAUGACCAGCCACCAAACAACUAGUGCUUAUUAAUAAACUUGCUUAAGGAAAUUGGCUGGAGCCUUACUUUCAUUGUGCUGAAUGAAUGGAGCUAAAUAUAAUCCAGAGCUCAUUUUGCUGGAUAACAAUGCGAGAGAAACUUCCUGUUCCAGCAGAAAUCCCGGAGUUUACAAGUAGGAGUUUCUCUAGGCUGGGUGAAAUUCUUCAAAUCUCAAGAAACAUGAAGGUCACUCUCUAAAUUCCUCUCUCCUCCGAAAUAAAGAUAUUAUUUUAAUACUCUGUGUGAAGAGUAAUGUAGUGUCUUUAUUAGAACCCAGCUGAAAGCACAAAAUGUUUUAAUCAAUGAGCACUCAGAAACAAAGGUACUUCUUGGCUUAAGACCCAAAUUCAAUAAUUAUUUUUUCAGCUGAACUGGAAUAAAGACAUU